rnacentral:tRNA from 1 species
GCCUUCGUAGUGUAACUGUUAAAACACUCGACACGUAUUCGAGAUGUCCAGGUUCAAGUCCCGGUGAGGACA